rnacentral:rRNA from 1 species
ACGAACGCUGGCGGCGUGCUUAACACAUGCAAGUCGAACGGGACUGAUUGAAAGCUUGCUUUGAAAAGUCUAGUGGCAAACGGGUGAGUAACGCGUAGGCAACCUGCCUCUAAGAUGGGGACAACAGCCCGAAAGGGCUGCUAAUACCGAAUGUUGUAUCUUUACCGCAUGGUGGAGAUAUUAAAGAUGGCCUCUACUUGUAAGCUAUCACUUAGAGAUGGGCCUGCGUCUGAUUAGCUGGUUGGUGGGGUAACGGCUCACCAAGGCGACGAUCAGUAGCCGGUCUGAGAGGAUGAACGGCCACAUUGGGACUGAGAUACGGCCCAGACUCCUACGGGAGGCAGCAGUGGGGAAUCUUCCGCAAUGGGCGAAAGCCUGACGGAGCAACGCCGCGUGAAGUGAAGAAGGUCUUCGGAUACGUAAAGCUCUGUCGAAGGGGACGAAUGUGGGUUCUAUCAACAACGGAACCUAAUGACGGUACCUUUCAAGAAAGCCACGGCUAACUACGUGCCAGCAGCGGC